GACGAACGCUGGCGGCGUGCUUAACACAUGCAAGUCGAACGGAAAGGCCCUGCUUUUGUGGGGUGCUCGAGUGGCGAACGGGUGAGUAACACGUGAGUAACCUGCCCUUGACUUUGGGAUAACUUCAGGAAACUGGGGCUAAUACCGGAUAGGAGCUCCUGCUGCAUGGUGGGGGUUGGAAAGUUUCGGCGGUUGGGGAUGGACUCGCGGCUUAUCAGCUUGUUGGUGGGGUAGUGGCUUACCAAGGCUUUGACGGGUAGCCGGCCUGAGAGGGUGACCGGCCACAUUGGGACUGCGAUACGGCCCAGACUCCUACGGGAGGCAGCAGUGGGGAAUAUUGCACAAUGGGCGGAAGCCUGAUGCAGCAACGCCGCGUGCGGGAUGACGGCCUUCGGGUUGUAAACCGCUUUCGCCUGUGACGAAGCGUGAGUGACGGUAAUGGGUAAAGAGGCACCGGCUAACUACGUG
rnacentral:rRNA from 1 species